GACAGAGGGUGCAAACGUUGCUCGGAAUUACUGGGCGUAAAGCGCGUGUAGGCGGACUGGUAAGUCGGACGUGAAAUCCCUGGGCUCAACCCAGGAACUGCAUCCGAAACUAUCAGUCUGGAGUGGUGGAGAGGGAAGCAGAAUUCCUGGUGUAGAGGUGAAAUUCGUAGAUAUCAGGAGGAACACCGGUGGCGAAGGCGGCUUCCUGGACACUAACUGACGCUGAGACGCGAAAGCGUGGGGAGCAAACAGG
rnacentral:rRNA from 2 species